AUUGAACGCUGGCGGCAGGCCUAACACAUGCAAGUCGAGCGGAUGAAGGGAGCUUGCUCCUGGAUUCAGCGGCGGACGGGCGAGUAAUGCCUAGGAAUCUGCCUGGCAGUGGGGGAUAACGUCCGGACACGGGCGCUAAUACCGCAUACGUCCUGAGGGAGAAAGUGGGGGAUCUUCGGACCUCACGCUAUCAGAUGAGCCUAGGUCGGAUUAGCUAGUUGGUGGGGUAAAGGCCUACCAAGGCGACGAUCCGUAACUGGUCUGAGAGGAUGAUCAGUCACACUGGAACUGAGACACGGUCCAGACUCCUACGGGAGGCAGCAGUGGGGAAUAUUGGACAAUGGGCGAAAGCCUGAUCCAGCCAUGCCGCGUGUGUGAAGAAGGUCUUCGGAUUGUAAAGCACUUUAAGUUGGGAAGAAGAGCAGUAAGUUAAUACCUUGCUGUUUUGACGGUACCAACAGAAUAAGCACCGGCUAACUUCGUG
rnacentral:rRNA from 1 species